rnacentral:tRNA from 1 species
GGGGGGUUGGCGCAAUGGUAGCGCGUGUCUCUCCUACCAAAGGUUUGAUACAAAGACAAGGUUGAGGUCGGUAAUGAUGUACAUCCCUUUUGAUUUCACGACCUAUACUAACGUUAUUCCAGGGUUCGAGUCCCUUGCUCCUCG